UACGGGGGAUACAAGCGUUGUCCGGAAUGAUUGGGCGUAAAGCGUCCGCAGGUGGCUGUGUAAGUCUGCUGUUAAAGAGUGAGGCUCAACCUCAUAAAGGCAGUGGAAACUACAUGGCUAGAGUGCGUUCGGGGCAGAGGGAAUUCCUGGUGUAGCGGUGAAAUGCGUAGAGAUCAGGAAGAACACCGGUGGCGAAAGCGCUCUGCUAGGCCGCAACUGACGCUGAGGGACGAAAGCUAGGGGAGCGAAUGGG
rnacentral:rRNA from 1 species